rnacentral:tRNA from 1 species
GGAGAGGUGGCUGAGUGGUCGAAAGCGCUCCCCUGCUAAGGGAGUAAGGGCUAAAACCCCUUCGAGGGUUCGAAUCCCUCUCUCUCCGCCA